UAAUAAAAACAGCAGGUGAUUAAAAUCAAGCAUUUAUUGAACAUUCUAAUUUCUUUAUUAUCAAGCAAAAGCAAACACAUCAUGUAGAUGGUUGGGUUUUCUCUAAUCUUUCUAAAUUUGUUAAGCAGAGGCAAAGACAUCAUGUAGUUGGUUGCGUCUUCUUUAAUCUUUCUAAAUUUGUUAAGGUAUGUUGAUUAUAAAGUUUACCUAUCAUAGUGUCAUUGUUUGUUCUUAUGUCUAGAAUUUUGUUAUAUUUGUCA